GGGGUUGUAGCUCAGUGGCAGGGUGCUUGCCUGGCAUGCGUGAGGCACUGGGUUCGAUUUCCAGCACCA
rnacentral:tRNA from 1 species